AACGCACAUUGCGCCCGCUAGUAUUCUGGCGGGCAUGCCUGUUCGAGCGUCAUUUCAACCAUCAAGCCCCCGGCUUGUGUUGGGGACCUGCGGCUGCCGCAGGCCCUGAAAUCCAGUGGCGGGCUCGCCGUAGCACCGAGCGUAGUAGCAUACUUCUCGCUCCGGUAGCAGCGGUGGGCGCCUGCCGUAAAACCCCCCUUACAAUCUCAAGGUUGACCUCGGAUCAGGUAGGAAUACCCGCUGAACUUAA
rnacentral:misc_RNA from 1 species